CUCUCCGAGUGUUCACCUAGUUCAACACACGUGCCCUUUAAGUCCUAGGUAGAAAGGUUGGCGGGUGGUUGGGUGAUAAGGAAAGAGCUGUCCACCCGGGCCUACGAAAUCUACGCCCAGGAGUAGUAGACUAAAAAGAGGCUCUUUACUCGCUAAAUACAUAAAUGGACGUGAAUUAACUAUAUAAAAGAGUGGUAAAAGGAAAAAGAUUCCAGAAGAGGACGAGCAGCAGCAGCAGCAGAAGAGGAGAGCGGACGGACGCGCCGGGCUGGUUAUCUGGCUGGCCCUCUCACCUUCGUCGUCGGCCGCGCCGAUUGCCCGAUACCGCCCUCGCCGGCCCUCCCUCUCCCUGGGCGAGGAGGCGAGGCUCUAGGUGCCGAAGUAGUGGAUGCGUCUGAACUUAAAGCUCUUCGACUUUCGUCUCCGGCGCAGCGCGACCAAGGCCGGCUUACUCUAGAUGCGCCAGGACCGGUUGGUGCUCUCCAAGUUCCAGGUACGUGUCGGGUAGCUGUUCGGGCACUCACCAUGAUAACAAGAUAUACUAGCGUUUCAACAGGCCUUGAAGGCCUUCCUACCGGUAUUAACCUUCUUUUUCUUCCUACCGUUUUGACAGGUUCUUCGGGUACUUUUUAAUUUCUAACCAUUACUUCUCUCCCAAGUACAGAUAAUACGAGCUCCACUCCUAUUAGGUUUAAAGAAAUCUUCCACGAUGACCGACGAACUGUUUCUCCGACUUGCCUAACAAGAACACGUAAUAGCAGUUUGUAGACUCCUUUUACGGUAUCGUGUAGGCUCGUGUCUUCGGCUUCGGCUUCGCGGAUGUUACUUACACUAAGUUAUAAUAUGAAGAGGCUAAAGUCGUUUAAGUCGGAGUCAAGUAUGGCUCUAUAGCAAGAGGGGAGGCCGUGGUCUCCUUUAAUUGAGUGUACCACCGUCACGUUAAAGAUCACUAUGACCACCGAGAUCAGACCUUCUCAAGACCCAAGUAGAUAACCUCAGUAGAUACUGUUUCCUAUGACGAACACCGCGUAGGCACCGUAAAUCAGUCGUCUAAUUUACGCCUUGUUUCCUAAGACCUUUACUGUGCCUGAGAUGUUUAUUACAUGUACACUUGGUGCGGCCUCGAGACCUUGUAGUUCAUCUGGUUAGAGUUAUGGGAAAUUGUAGUCUAGAGCUAAGAGUCAGUGUAGUUAAACGUUGAAGAAACGCCUUUUGAGGUCACCUACCACUGUAAGGAUUACUACACGGACGAUCUCUCUUGUCAGAACCUGACACCUUCAUGAACCUACUACUGUCAGGAACAGAUCCCCUAUUAUAUCACUCGUUACCUUUUUAGAAGUUGUAGUGACUAAAGAGGGGUCUUACCCGAACAAGGUGUCUCGUAUGGUUCUAGAACCACUAGCCCCUAAUGAUACUCGUUAUGUUCGUAGACCGACCAAGGUUAUAAAUGCCAUAGAAACCACUAUUGACACAACGGCGUUUGUACCAGGUUUGACCACAAAUGGCAAAGUACCAACCUGGUGUAUGUCGACCUGCUCACCUAAAAAUAAACUGAAACCUACCCUUUUGUGGUUAGAGACUCCAAAACUUAAAACUCAUAGCAUCACACGGACCUUCAAGUAACGUAUCACUCAAUUUCGGCGACCUUCUACUCAUGUGUUUCAGUUUCGAAGUUUACGUCUACUCUGAUCGAGCAAACGACAAACACUGUUUGUUCUUUUUCUAUCGUGGUUUCGAAGAACACCUUCCGUCGUUUCAAAGAUUAGAGUAUAACCGUAGUGGUCUCUUCCUUACCUACCUAGAUACCUUUUAACGACCGCUAAGACUUCCGUGUAGACAAGUACGAUGACUUCUGAACGAACUUAAUCAAAAUGCCUUAUCUAACGUUCUUACCGAAGAGCUUUCUCAUUAACCUCCGGUAUUUAGUUGGCCGGCACUACUAGAUCCUGUUCCUGGAUAGGUAGACACAAGAAAGGAUCCGAUAUGAACCCGAUAGGCGAACAAAAGACACAGGCCUAAGAGGAACCUAAAGGCACUAAGAAGACCAACCUGACGAAAUGUGACCCGACGUAUGGUGCCUUCCCUUUUUUACCAACGACGAGACAAUAGACGACCUCGUUUAGGUUCGAACCAAUGCCUAGGAUGACGUCACAGGGGACCACCUACGUGAGGACGACUAGACCGUCGUUCUGUUCCAAUACACCCGAAUCGACGUAUAGAACGACUCUUUCCUAACUGACGUGUAAAACUUAGUUACAGUGACAGGUUCCCAUGAUUCGUUAGUGGUAGUUCCUGCUUUGAUUGUUUUCAUGUGUCGCUCUUCAAACUCUUGGAAUGACUUGUUCUUGAAACGAAUUUUCUUAGGAAUCGCCGGAUAGCUUUACGACGACUGCGACGGUCAUUAUAGGUUCGACGUGAAGCGCUAUCUUGAGAAUUUGAGGUUUGUUUUCGUUAAGAAAACCGGUUAGGACUCUACGUUCGUUGACGCUAUCAACGACGAUACUCCUAAGUCGUACGUAAGGCCUUGAUGUUGUCUUUUUUUCUCUACUCUCGACGACGUGCUUAUGUUUUAGUAAAGGCGUGCACCUUCCAGUCUUCCUUGAAAUUCUUGUACGCUUCUGUUCGAUAGUCUUAUGUUCGACGUAUGGCUCCGGUAGUUCACUCUGCAGUCAUGGCGUUCCAUUAUACCAGACAACCUCAGCACCUCUUUCGAUAAAACGCUACCUCUUUCUUCUCUUUUCCGAACGCGCCGUAACGUUUACCUUACGGUCGUCUUUACUGUCACCUACAUCUUCGACGUUCGUGACGUCUUCUUCCAAAGAAGGUCCGGUCGGCCGUUGUUCGCCUCCUGUCCAAAUUAUCUAGUCACCAUGCACAAGUCCGAGACAAAGCAACAGUAGCCCGUGUCGUACUCAUGGCCUCCUACUCCUAACGAGUACUCCUCCGGUUCGACCUCAAGUCAUUUCCCGUCGUCGUCCGCGGCCGUACGUCCUCCACUUCACCGAAGAUCCCCGGUACAUUAAGAACAUAACAUGUAAUUCUUUUUAGUAUUGAACGAUUACGACGGGAUGUAAAAUCCUGGUAGAAUAACUAGGAAAACCGGCUUAGACCACAUACAUAAACGACGAUCGUACAAUGACACCAAACGUUAAACGGACCAAAAUCGAUAUACCGUAACACGAACAUCCACGUACAUCUACGACCAUGCCUAGUACAACAUUUCCGAUUGUUAUUCACGAUGGACCCGGUUUCUGGUUUAUCCUUAAAAUGGAAUGCAAAGUACCUAAGAAAGUACAAAUACCAAUUAAACCACCAGGUGUCCUUGUUUAAGG
rnacentral:rRNA from 1 species